AUAGCCUUGGCAAAGCAAAGCCCUGUAGUAAUCCAAUCCAAUCCAAGCUCUAGCCAUCGUUUUAAGGGCAGCGGAGCAUCGUUUUCACGUGCCGUGCCUGCCGAAGUUUCCUGCUCAGCUACUAAGGUGCCAGCAUGCCUAGACUGCGGGAGAAGCCGUACACGCGAAAGAGAGCGUCGCUGGAAACAAAGACGAUAUUCGAGGAUUUCGGAUCUCGCACCGGCAACCAGCAGUCAACGGCUCAAGAAUUCGCAAGUCUAGAACUGUGCAGUGGCGCAUAUACGCCACACACUUGCAUUAACAUGUGCAGUUGUGCUGUCCCUGCAAACAUUUGUUCGCCUUGUGAUGCUGGCCGCUGCACCGAGGCGACAUCGGAAGUUCAGGAUGGUGGUUGUGACACUACGCGCAUUAAGGACAAUGUGCCUUGCUUCCCUAAUGGAUCGACUCUACGUGACUCUUCGGAUGGUUCACUUCGCUGUGAGAAGGGAACAGGAUCCUUCAGGAGAAAUGUACGCACAAGUCAAUGUGGGUUCUCUGGUGACCGCUGUGCAGUCAUCAAGUUUCCAGAGAAGGGUGACUCUGUGGUUCUUGUACAUACCAAGCGGCUGCAUGGUGAUGUGUGCUUGUGGCCACAGGAUUUCAAGAAUAUUUCGUAUUUAGCAACAUGUGGAGCAUUUCCAUCGUCCAUCUGGCAAGUUGUGCCUUGUGUGCCCAUAGACACAUUCAGAACAUAUAAUGCAGGGCAACAAAAACUCAAGCAAGCUGAAAAAUGGGUCAGACUUGGAGAGUGAGGUGGACCUGGGAAGGGGCAAAAGAAAGAAGCAACGAAGAACCCUUGCUCAAGUCUGGAAAGUGUGCAGCGACUACCACUUCCACCGCCCUCUGUGAUGAAAAGAGCACAGAAGAGGUAUGGGAGAUCUGUUCACAAGCAGUCAUCACAUGCAUCAACAUCUAGGGCGAAUGCUGCCAACGUGUGCAGUGAUGUAGGUGCAGUACAGUGUGAACAAAUGUGUGCAAGCGAGACUUCAGACUCUGAGGGUGAGGUUGACUCUGGAGGGGAACAAGAUGCAAAGCAAAAAUCGUCAGGCAUUGAAAGAUCAUUGACAGCUCACUCUUUUAUGAAAAGGCCCUUCUGACCUCAUCGCUAGUUACAGGAGAGUUUCUGUAUCCUGUUCAUUACUGUUUCUAAGUGCGGUAUCGUGACUCCUCUGGGUACUGUAUACAGCAUUGUCAAAGCCUUGUAUAAAUCAACUUUGAAGUUAUCUAUAUAAGGGAAUUAUCCUUUGCCAAACUGCAGCACCUAAUUUUGCCCAAGGACAAACCGAAUGCAACAACUGUACGAACUAAUUCUCAGGGGACUUGACGUCAACGGGAUGAGCAAGCUCGUAGCAUCCACUGAAAUUUUGGAGCUUUCUAUUUACCUCGCAAGAACACGACCAAAAAAACCUCAUUAAACCACUCAUAAGCUCUGGAAUGAAGUGGUGAGCCAUAUCAUGUCUUAAUGACUUAUGUUGUGUAUACUUCCACAGAAGCAUGUUGCAUCAUCAUGUGCUGUUAGUGAAAUAUAAUGGCUGUUGCAGUGCUGCGGAGAAUAUGUUGUGUGAGUGGGGAGAGUGACUUUUGAUUGCAUGCAUCAUGUAUCAUACAUCAUCGUAUCCUGUGGCACCCUAGGCCGUUGAAUUGAUAGUGCAUGAAGCCCAGUGUCCCAUGUGAUCUAGAAUUUCACAUUGUCUAGCAUUUCUUGCCAUUACCCACCGUGAUUGUUUAAUGGCUAUGGUGUUAGGCUAAGUACGAGGUCGCGGGAUCGAAUACCAGCUGCAGCAGCCGCAUUUCGAUGGGGGCGAAAUGUGAGGACACCCAAGUGCACGUUAAAGAAUCCCAGGUGGUACAAAUUUCCGGAGUCCCACACUACAGUGUCCCUCAUAAUCAGAUUGUGGUUUUGGUAUGUUAAGCCCCAUUAUUAAAUUUUUAAAUUUCUUGCUGUUUAAGCACAAGUAUAUCGUCAGCAUAUUGUCAGAGUACAUUGAUAAAUUUACUGAAUCUGCUAGGCAUUAGUGCUUGUGUGCUCUUACGUUGCCUUUUCUUGAUGUCCACUUUUUAAUUUUUUUAUGGUGUUCAGACUAAAGUUGUUUGUUGGUUCUGAUGUCUUCUUCUUCCUUGCCGGUAAUGACCUAUGUUAAGAUUUUUCUAAUAUUAAGUUGUUACACUAGUUAGCUUAACCAAUUUCUUUCAUUGCAUUAACAUGUUCAUGUUCUUGUGCUGUUUGAAUGUACAGCAUGUCCAUGGAGUUUUUGGUCGACAUUAAGAUGCCUGUUGUGAGGUGAGGACUCGUGGUCAUGUCUGCCAAUGAGAAACUGCUUAGGCAGGUUAGGCGGACAUGUAAUGGAGAACCACUAAGGGCUCAUUGAGAUUGGCAUUGGAGAACGGUCGUGCGAUAGACUGCAACUGGCAAUGAAGGAGCGACUCAUGACGAUCGAUGUUCACACCAACAAGUACGACCUGCCUGUCACCACGCAGAAAUGUCUCUCCAUUGACUCCAUUUUACGUCUGCUCGCACCGCAGUCACCACGUAAAAUAAGCAUCAGUGUAUAGAGACUUCCUGCUGCUGUGCCACUGAUUGGUUCCAUAGGUUUGUCAGCACAAUUGCACGACUCAAAAAUCGAGCAGCAAACCGACCCGGAAGUGUCGUUUUUCAACCAAAGCGAUCAUUUGCAACCGACUCGGUUCCACGACUUAUGCAAGUCGCUGGUAUGAACUUGCUGUGGGGGUUUUGAUAUCAUAGUUACCUGUACUGACAUUUGUGCACCUUCAGCACGCUUUUGAAAACUGAAAUGAACAUUUUACUUCUGUAGUGUUGAUUAACUCCCAAUAUGUUGCAGGUAGCAUGGGACCUAUUAGGCUACCUUGCUAUUUAUAUGCCACCAGGAACAGGAGACACGCAGCUUUCGAUCUCCCAUAACAUUCUAGUGUCAGCCUCAAACCUACAAGGACAUGGCCCCAAAAAAUUACCCCGAAGUUACCAGUUUGAGUAAACUUUAACUAGCAUUGCUUUGAGCAUGUAGUUAUCACUGCACCAACAAGUACAAAUCUGUCAUGCUUGUAGAUGGCAGUAGAAAGCGUUUAGAAUUUCUAGCAUAUAUUAGAAAAGUUAGUUGUAACUGGAACAGUGAUUCUGCUUUUGCAGAUGUGUGAUUUUGCCAAGAUGUAUGGCACCUGGGUGUCAGUGUCAUAAGGAAGUGCCAUGCCAAUGUGUUGGUGAAUAAUUAUGUAUGUUAAUGUGGCGAUGCUUGCAGUAGAUUAUGAGUAGCGAAGCUCAGCAAAGCCAAUACAGGAAUUCGUCUGAUCAAAAGGUUGAGAGACGACCCUCAAUUUCUUUUUCUCUAAUAAAGCAUUCAAUAACUUUACUGGGGAAUUUCUUUUUUGAAGCUCCAAAAAAGAAUUUCAGAAAGUUAGCUUAUCUUGGAUUACUAUAUUCUGCUCUGCAUUGUGAAUGUAAAUUCUAACAAUUGGCUUGUGGGGUUUGAUGCUGACCCAAAGUAACAAGGGACUUAUGCAAAAUACACUGUGGUAGCUGCAGCAAGAGGGUUCCGUAUUUAAUUUCACCACCCGAGUUCUUUAUGUGCUCCAGAUGCUUGGUAUUUGGGUGUUAUUGCACCCUGCCCCCGUUGGAAGGCAGCUUCUGCAGAGGUGUGAGACGGGGCUAGUUGAUAUUCCAUGAUGAUGUAACCAGCCCGAGAGGCAGUGCCUAUUGCAGGCAGCAACUGUGUUAGUAAACCGUCCAUAGCGUUGACUGAUGAAGAAUUUGCUCACUUGGGGUCUGCAAGCGUGGGGCCACCUUAGGCCUUCGUGCGCUCUUGUUGAUUUGUGGUGCUCACAUUAACUUACACAAGUAUAUCUGGUUGUAAUCACAUGCAUGAAGUUGUAUAUUUAUGCCUUUUUGUAAUAAAUUCCAGUUGGAAGGCGG